AGCGAUAUCAAUCUAUACAUGAACUGCAUCUGUUUCUCAGUGCUCACUGACCCCGAAAAGUUCCACUGCCACAGUUGCCACAGAGCGAGUGAAGUAUCAAGUCAUGAACUCAUGCAAUCAAGCAGCUAAAUUCUAGCUAUUCAAAGAAGCGGACUCACAAGUUCAACUGAAGAGGUGAAUAGAACUCUGCAAAACAUGACACAGCUGGCUAUAAUAAUAUUUUCUUUAAUUAGAAUAAUGUAAAUUAUAAUUUGGGACUUUAAAAUAAUGAGAAAUUCGUUCCACUUUUCGGUCACAAGUUCAUAGUUCAACUGAAAGGAUGACAAAUUUGUAUAGAUAUCGCAAAAACAAGAUGCAUAUUUAUACCCGCUACCCAUAGGGCAGAAGGAUAUCCUAACUUUGUGCCGGCAGGAAAUGUAUGUAGCAGGUAGAAGGAGGCAUCUCCGACCCUAUAAAGUAUAUAUAUUCUUCAUCAGCAUCAACAGCCGAGACGAUCUAGCCAUGUCCGUCU